rnacentral:rRNA from 1 species
CCUACGGGUGGCAGCAGUGAGGAAUAUUGGUCAAUGGGCGGAAGCCUGAACCAGCCAAGUCGCGUGAGGGAUGAAGGUUCUAUGGAUCGUAAACCUCUUUUAUAAGGGAAUAAAGUGUGGGACGUGUCCUAUUUUGUAUGUACCUUAUGAAUAAGGAUCGGCUAACUCCGUGCCAGCAGCCGCGGUAAUACGGAGGAUGUGAGCGUUAUCCGGAUUUAUUGGGUUUAAAGGGUGCGCAGGCGGUCUGUUAAGUCAGCGGUAAAAGCCCGGGGCUCAACCCCGGGCCGCCGUUGAAACUGGCAGUCUCGAGUUGGAGAGAAGUAUGCGGAAUGCGCGGUGUAGCGGUGAAAUGCAUAGAUAUCGCGCAGAACUCCGAUUGCGAAGGCAGCAUGCCGGCUCCACACUGACGCUGAGGCACGAAAGCGUGGGUAUCGAACAGGAUUAGAUACCCGAGUAGUC